AUUGAACGCUGGCGGCAUGCCUUACACAUGCAAGUCGAACGGUAACGGGCCUUCGGGUGCCGACGAGUGGCGAACGGGUGGGUAAUGUAUCGGAACGUACCUUUCAGUGGGGGAUAACGUAGCGAAAGUUACGCUAAUACCGCAUAUUCUGUGAGCAGGAAAGCAGGGGAUCGCAAGACCUUGCGCUGAUUGAGCGGCCGAUAUCAGAUUAGCUAGUUGGUGAGGUAAAGGCUCACCAAGGCGACGAUCUGGAGCGGGUCUGAGAGGAUGAUCCGCCACACUGGAACAGAGACACGGUCCAGACUCCUACGGGAGGCAGCAGUGGGGAAUUUUGGACAAUGGGGGCAACCCUGAUCCAGCCAUGCCGCGUGAGUGAAGAAGGCCUUCGGGUUGUAAAGCUCUUUCGGCCGGGAAGAAAUCGUAUCAGCUAAUACCUGGUGCGGAUGACGGUACCGGCAUAAGAAGCACCGGCUAACUACGUGCCAGCCGCCGCAGUAACAC
rnacentral:rRNA from 1 species